AUCACUGCCAGGUGGGCAUACAAAAUGAACAAAUGUUUAUCUUCAAUGUAGUCAUUUCUAAAUUGUGGUGAGGUGUUUGCUGAGGAGAGAAGACAUCUUGAGUAUGUUGUGCUUUGACUCUACCUGCUCUGUAACUAAGUAGAGAACUUGUAGUUCUGGCAUUGCUCCUGGACUUUGCAGUGUCUUUGCUUUCAGUUUCAACAAGAAUAAAUGAUCUCAUGUAAUAACAAACCUGACAGAUCUUCAUAAUUGAUCGCUAUUCUUCACAGAUGAAGGGCAUAGGAAGCAAACAGAAUAAAGCAGUAAGCAGUUUGCUGGGCUGAUGGCAGAUCUGGUUGCAUCUGUGGGAGGACAACGGGACUGACUACUCAACAUUCAAACCCCCCGUCUGCGAGCUUCUUGAACUGCAGCAACUUGGUGCUAUGCUUGCUGUCCCAGGGAGCUGGUUCCAUGCCCACCAUCCUCUGGCGAAGAAUAUUUCUCUAGCACCCAUCUGACCCUACCCUAAUGCUGCUUCAUGACUCUCCACCUGUCAGCGAGAUGUAGGGCCACCAUAAGUCACCCCCUCAAACCAAGGGACCUCAGCCAUUUUUCAUUUGUGUUGUCCUCUAGAUCCUUUGCCAUCUUUGUGACCCUCCUUUGGAUGCUCUCCAAUAGUCUUAUAUCAUUAAGUCUUCCUGAAAUAAAUACGUGUACAUUA